CUCUCUCCCAGAAUCCUCCCUCUCGAUUCUCAGUCCCCUCUCAUUCGUCCUUCCCUCUUGAUCUCUCUUUCCCAGAAUCCUCCCUCUCGAUUCUCAGUCCCAUCUCCCACUCGAGUCGAGUCCUCUUGUGAACACCACCAUCGCCAUCGUCUCCUGACACUUCUCCCAAAUGUGACCACCCAUCACCGCCGUCGAAAACAGCACCAUCAUCCUGCGAUUCGAAAUAUCAUGUCAUCUUCUCUCAAAUUAAGGUAAUUUCUAGAUUAGGGUUUUUGAAUUAUCUGGGUUUUUUAGUUCAGGGAUUUAGGACUUUUGAAUUAGGAUUUUUGAAAUUUCUAGGUUAUGGGGAGUAUUCGGAAUUUUUAUUUUCUGGGUUGGUGGGGAAAUUGGAUGAAGUUGCAUAAAUUUUGAAUCUUUCAGUAAGCUGCAUAUGAAGAUGAAGUUGGCAAGCUUGAGCUUUCAGUAAUCUGCUAAUCUUUCAGUAAUUUAGAGUUGUAUAUAACUUCUGAAAUUUAUAUGAUUGACAAUUUGAUUUUGGUUGAGAUUUGUUUAUUUGUUCAAGCUUUGUCAUUUUUUGUUUGUAUUGUAAAUUUGAUUGCUCAAGCUUUGUCUUCUGAAUUUAGUUUUCGAUUGUAGAACAAGACUCAGUCUUACAAGGUGGAGUGCCGAUUGGAAAAACGCUACUCUUUCGUAUGCAGCAAGGGCGGAGGAUGCAGCGGCGGAGGAUGCAAGCUGUUAGGGUUUUUUCUGUUGGGCUUGGUUUUGUUAUCAGGUCCAUACUUUUGUUGUUGUGUUUGUAUGGGCCUCUCUUGUAAAUGUAAAUAUGUGAGUUGUUGGUAAUAAAAAAAGGAGCCCAAUGUCAGACCCAAAAAAAAAAAAAGUAAUUGGACCCGUGGACCCGUCCCGAACCGGCCCGUUUCAAACGGGCCAGGUUAGGUCCGGUUCUCAAACUUAAAAUCUCUCUACCCAACUCGGCCCGGCCCGUUACAUUUUAAAACGGGUAGGUCCGGUUCCUCAGAAUUUGGGCCCGGCCCGGCCCGUGCCCA
rnacentral:lncRNA from 1 species